AAAGAGCCCCCCUACAAACACCACAUUAACAUCCCACCCUUUCCCAGAAUUUAGUUUCAACCAGGUAACUAUUAAUAUAUGCACAAAAUUUACAUCUUCAUACAUACAUAUUUACUUAAUCAGGUCACCAAGGCGUCGAUCCAUGAUGACCGAAACAGACUGCAAGAAUGCUGCCUCACUUGUUCCUGGGAGCACACUCUCUUCAGCUUCUUCAACAAUCUGCUCAAUCAUAGACUCCUUCUUCAGUGCUUCCCUGCACAUGAUUCCUCCAAUUGCACAAGGGGUGAGACCUCUCUCUGCACCUUUCUUCAGAAGCAUAGUAGAGAUACGAAAUACACGUGCACAAGCAAGGGACAUGGUCCAACCAUGAAACUUCAGAAGCUCAAUAUCUUUCUCAGCAUCAAGAGAGUUUAUG
rnacentral:misc_RNA from 1 species